rnacentral:rRNA from 1 species
UACGUAGGUGGCAAGCGUUGUCCGGAAUUAUUGGGCGUAAAGCGCGCGCAGGCGGUCCUUUAAGUCUGAUGUGAAAGCCCACGGCUCAACCGUGGAGGGUCAUUGGAAACUGGGGGGACUUUGAGUACAGAAGAGAAGAGUGGAAUUCCACGUGUAGCGGUGAAAUGCGUAGAGAUGUGGAGGAACACCAGUGGCGAAGGCGACUCUUUGGUCUGUAACUGACGCUGAGGCGCGAAAGCGUGGGGAGCAAACAGG